rnacentral:rRNA from 1 species
GGUCGACCUCAGAUCAGGUAGGAAUACCCGCUGAACUUAAGCAUAUCAAUAAGCGGAGGAAAAGAAACCAACAGGGAUUGCCUCAGUAACGGCGAGUGAAGCGGCAACAGCUCAAAUUUGAAAUCUGGCCUCUGGCCCGAGUUGUAAUUUGCAGAGGAUGUUUCUGGCGAGGUGCCUUCCGAGUUCCCUGGAACGGGACGCCAUAGAGGGUGAGAGCCCCGUACGGUUGGUCGCUAAGCCUCUGUGAAACUCCUUCGACGAGUCGAGUAGUUUGGGAAUGCUGCUCUAAAUGGGAGGUGUACGCCUUCUUAAGCUAAAUACCGGCUAGAGACCGAUAGCGCACAAGUAGAGUGAUCGAAAGAUGAAAAGCACUUUGAAAAGAGGGUUAAAAAGUACGUGAAAUUGUUGAAAGGGAAGCGCUCUUGACCAGACUUGCGCCGGUUGAUCAUCCGCCGUUCUCGGUGGUGCACUCUGCCGGCUCAGGCCAGCAUCAGUUCGGCCCGGGGGAUAAAGGCUUCGGGAAUGUGGCUCUCUCCGGGGAGUGUUAUAGCCCGUUGCGUAAUACCUGGGCUGGACUGAGGUUCGCGCAUCUGCAUGGAUGCUGGCGUAAUGGUUAUCAGUGACCCGUCUUGAAACACGGACCAAGGAGUCGUCUUCGUAUGCGAGUGUUCGGGUGUCAAACCCCUACGCGUAAUGAAAGUGAACGUAGGAGAGAGCUUCGGCGCAUCUCCGACCGAUCCUGAUGUUCUCGGAUGGAUUUGAGUAAGAGCAUACGGGGCCGGACCCGAAAGAAGGUGAACUAUGCCUGUAUAGGGUGAAGCCAGAGGAAACUCUGGUGGAGGCUCGCAGCGGUUCUGACGUGCAAAUCGAUCGUCAAAUAUGGGCAUGGGGGCGAAAGACUAAUCGAACCUUCUAGUAGCUGUUU